AAUGUUAUGUCUGAUUUAGGUGAUAAAUUGUAAAUUUAUUUAAGAAAUUUUUUUUUCUAACAUUA
rnacentral:tRNA from 1 species